rnacentral:tRNA from 1 species
GGAAGAUUGGCCGAGUGGUCGAAGGCGCACGUUUGGAGUACGUGUAUGCACCCUGUGUAUCUAGGGUUCGAAUCCCUAAUCUUCCG